rnacentral:rRNA from 1 species
AGAACGAACGCUGGCGGCAUGCCUAAUACAUGCAAGUCGAACGAACACUUCGGUGUUAGUGGCGCACGGGUGCGUAACGCGUGGGAAUCUGCCCUUGGGUUCGGAAUAACAGUUGGAAACGACUGCUAAUACCGGAUGAUGACGAAAGUCCAAAGAUUUAUCGCCCAGGGAUGAGCCCGCGUAGGAUUAGCUAGUUGGUGAGGUAAAGGCUCACCAAGGCGACGAUCCUUAGCUGGUCUGAGAGGAUGAUCAGCCACACUGGGACUGAGACACGGCCCAGACUCCGU